UUCCCUGGGCUCCCUCACAGCUGCGUGGGGCAGGAGGCACAGUGGCCAGGGUUUGCAAGUCCAAGUGCAGUGGGUGACCUUGGGGAUAUCUGCCUAGAGGAAGGUGGCCUUCAGUACCCCCUGACUUCUCCUGCUGGCUGAGAGGAUGGGGUGGUAAGGCACGAGCAGCCAUUGUGGGCAGCAGGUGGCACAUGCCGCCCUUUCUCUGCACCUGGUACUUCACCAACCUGCGCCGACAUGUCAAUCAGCCUUGGGAGUGACAAUCUGCUCCCUUCAUCUGUCUUCAGGAAAUCCAGCAGGCAUCCUAAGAAAAGAGAAGUUGCAAGUGCCCUUCUGCAAAGUGACCCGCCCCUGGUGGUGCCAGCCUCUCUCUGGUUAACCUGAGCCCGGGGGAGUGAAGAAGCCAAUCAGAAGACAGAGAGCUUGCUCGGAGGUGAUCCCUUAACCAAAAUCGGGGUAAGUGCCCAGGUGCCACCCCAUUCCAGGUGCCAGAGCUGGAACAUGCAGUUCCGGAGGCCAUGGUUGUGUGGUGCCUACCUUGCGUUCCAGGUCCCUUCUAUAUGGGGCCUCAGGCAGUGGAGGAAUGUACCCUGCCUGGGGGGCAUUUCACCUAUUUGCCCCACACCCUGGGCCUGUGUCCUUCUGUCCUGCACGGAACCUGUGUCCUUCCCCCACCCCUCCCCUACAUAAUGAGUCUCUUCUAUCACACAAUAACUCCUUGGUGGAAAUAAGCACACAGCCUGGGGUACACUGGGCAGGAGGAUGACGCAUGGGGGUCUCCUUCCCUCCUUCUGAAGCCCCAUGGCGAUCCUGUCCCACUCCUUAAACUAUCUGUAUCUCCACACUCUCCCUGUACUCCAUGAAGUCCCCUGAAGGGCAAAAGACAACUCUACUUGCUUUUCUAGAGGACAUGGGCCUUGGCAGGGACCUGGGUACAGCUCCUGCCAAAAGCACCGUGGGCAUCAGCCCCAGGCUCUGGAACAUCAUGGCUCAUCACGUUUAACCUCCUGUUUCCAUCUGGGUGAUGAAAAGCUAAGGGGAGUUAACGCGCCGCUGCAGCUCAUUGUCAAAGCCAGCUUCAGGCAGAGAACGAAGGAGGGAGCGACUUCGGGGCUGGGUUAAUGUUUUCCCGCAGGCAAGUGGUAGCAGAUGUCAAGGGUUAAGGACAAUUUAGGAGGUAAGAAUUUCCAGGCUGCACUUGUGUCGGGUGCCUCGGGCGAUGAGCCCAGGAGCCCGCUCUCCACGCAGUGACGCUUCCCAAGCUGGUGCUUUAGACCCCUCACUUGCCUGGCUGCUCUGAGGCCCCGUCCCUGAUGGCUUCUGACAAUUUGGUGUCCUUUGUAAAGACGACCUCAGAUCCUAUCAGCUUCAGUUUCACAAAACCUGGAUCCCCUGCCUCUGUGGUAUGUCUGGACUGCCCUGGGCAGGCAGGGCCUGGCUCUGAGAUGAAGAUUUCUCAGCACUGAAGGACCGCCUGCCUUUGAGCUGUGAAACUAGUCUAUCCUCACAUAGACACCAGUAAACUGAGGCUUGAGAGGCUCAAGGACACCCCGGAGGCCACGAAGGGUAGAACUCACUCCCCUGCUUCCAUCCCUGUCUUGCAUUCACUGCUGUGGCUCGGAGAAGCAGAGGGGUCUUGCUUUGGAGUUGUGUGUGUGUGUGCAUAUGUACGUGUAAGGUGUGUACAUGUGUUGCACACGUGUUCAUUGCAUCUGUGCAUAUGUGCACAUGUAUAUGUGUGCGUGUGUGUGUAUAUGUGCAUGCGUGGACAUGUGUAUGUGUUUGCAUGUGUAUGUGUGCACACAUGCCUGUGUAUGCACAUGUGUGUAUAUGUGUGCAUUUGUGCAUAUGUGCAUGUGUGUUCAUGUGUGCAUGUGUAUGUGCGUGUGGUGGUGAUGAUGGUUGAACAGUCCUGCAGCCCUGGUCCCAUAUGGCCUAUUCCCAGCUUGGACUGGCUUCCUGGGGUGGACAUGGACAGGAAAAGAUGCCAGACUCAUAGAGAACCCCUUCUUCCUCCACACCAGAUUGGGCAGGGGGUGGGGAGGCUUUCACCUUAGCAAUAGGCAAUGGUUGAAAUAUCAUUUCCAGGGUGACAUGACAUGAUGUUUGGGAUUUACUUCGAAAGAACAGGGGUGGAGCGGGAGAUACAGAUGAAACAAGACUGGCUCAGUUGAUAAUUGUUGAAGCUGGCUGUUGGGUACCAGGGGUUCCACUAAACUAUUUUCUCUACUUCUGUGUAUGUUUGAAAUGUCCUGGAACAACAAUAAAACACUUAUGUCAUCUCCA